rnacentral:pre_miRNA from 1 species
AGGGCGAUCUGAGUGAACAUGCGUGAGUGAUGUGCAUUGUAUGGUAUCGCACAGAUCACCCCCU